UAGGCGUCCCCUAAAAAGGACGUCUCCCGGCCCUCUCCCGUCCGCGGGUGGGGCGCCCGCCGGAGGAUAACCAAACUCUGAUUUAACGACGUUUCUUCUGAGUGACACAAGCAAAUAAUCAAAACUUUUUAACAACGGAUCUCUUGGUUCUGGCAUCGAUGAAGAACGCAGCGAAAUGCGAUAAGUAAUGUGAAUUGCAGAAUUCAGUGAAUCAUCGAAUCUUUGAACGCACAUUGCGCCCGCCAGCAUUCUGGCGGGCAUGCCUGUUCGAGCGUCAUUUCAACCCUCAAGCUCUGCUUGGGUGUUGGGGCUCUACGGUUGACGUAGGCCCUUAAAGGUAGUGGCGGACCCUCUCGGAGCCUCCUUUGCGUAGUAACAUUUCGUCUCGCAUUGGGAUUCGGAGGGACUCUAGCCGUAAAACCCCCAAUUUUACUAAGGUUGACCUCGGAUCAGGUAGGAAUUCCCGCUGAACUUAAGAGAAAAUAUAAAAAAAACCGCGG
rnacentral:ncRNA from 1 species